UACAGAGGUCUCAAGCGUUGUUCGGAUUCAUUGGGCGUAAAGGGCGCGUAGGUGGCGGGGCAAGUCAGGUGUGAAAUCUCGGGGCUCAACCCCGAAACUGCACUUGAUACUGCCUUGCUAGAGUACUGGAGAGGAGAUUGGAAUUUACGGUGUAGCAGUGAAAUGCGUAGAUAUCGUAAGGAAGACCAGUGGCGAAGGCGAAUCUCUGGACAGUUACUGGCACUGAGGCUCGAAGGCCAGGGGAGCAAACGGG
rnacentral:rRNA from 1 species